GGCGAACCCGGGCCUGGUAGGGGGGCGCCUGACUGGGAGGGGAAUGGAGCGGAGGAGCGAGGCCCCGACGAGUUGGGUCUCGGGGCGGGAGCCAGAGGUGACCCAGAGGGGCCUCCCGGCGGGGCUCCCCAGGGCUCCUAAGGACCUUGAAAGCUGCCGGGGCACUCUUCUGUUCCGCCCUGCUCACUCCCAAGUAUCCAGUCCCUCCGCCCUUAGCUGGGCAGCUGCUGUCCGUUGAGCGCCUGCGGUGCACCCGGCGGCCUGUCAGUCUCCUUCUCAGACGAGAUAGUGAAAUCGUGCCCUAUGAGGACUUUAGGCUCUGAAGUCCGCCUUGGAGUGCCGACGUUUCUUUUCUAGUCCAUGUCGCUCUGAAAGCAUAGGCCAUUUGGCAUCGUGUCUAGCUGUGCCGAGUUAUUCCAACGUGGAGUAAAGUUGGGAGAAACGCUGAACUAGACUAAAACAAAAGGGAAGUCUAUGUGGAUCUGGCCAGUCUGCCCUUACCUGUGAAAGGGGGUGGGAGUUGGCAGACGGAUUGUUAGCGUUCUCUACUUCCUGUGUAGGAGGUUUGUUUCUUUCGAUUUCCAAUGAAGCCUUCAUGACCUGAAUACUGUGAAUAGACUGGUUAUGGUGAUUAAAGUAGAUAUGUGUAAAAAUGUCCAGUCCAGGUCCUGGGCUGUGGCCGGGGCUUUCGAGGUUGGCGGAUUUGAAUCUAAGCCUUGUUCCAUUAGAUGCACAAACACACGUGAGCUGAAAAAAAAUUGUAGGCAACGUGGCCACCUGCUUCUUGCCUCUGAGAAUUGGCUUUUCCUCCGGCCUCUCUCGGUGUUUAUUGUGGGAUCAGCUUGGCACUGGUCUUGGGACCCCUUCACUAGGCAGCAGGCACAGUAGCCAUUGCACUUCAUGGCCGUUAUUCUGUAACCACCCUGCAGCGGGGUAGGGUUCGUAGCCAUAUUACAGGUGAAUACACUGAGGGUCCGAGGCUCACUUAAGGAAGGCUCAUCGUGUCCUAACUCUUCCCAGAUGGACUUCAGGUGACUGUUUUGUUACUCCGGAGAACAGUGGUUGGCACCUGGCAAAGGCUCCCAGCCGCACUGGCUGCUUUUUGCUUCUUCAUGUAGCUUUAGGCUAUUCCUCUUUCCAGUUCAGUUAGCCUGGAACUCUUUUUAAUUUUCUCAGGCUUCAAGUCCCAGGUUAAGUUACCUCACCAAACACCAUUCCUGUCUAAAUUACUUCCCCCACUUCCUUUCUGGGGCUUAACUUCCUUCUUGCUUACAGCUCAUGAAGGAGUGGCCGUAUGUUUUUUGCCCCUCAACUGACUGGAAUGCCCUCUGUGUGCCAGAUCUUGGAGUAAAUUCAGUGAAUUGAUUAUAAAUAAGUACCGGUCAAACUACUGUAAAAAUUCCUUCUGCAAGUAGGAGGGUAUUUCAGGGAUCACACCUCUGUCUGGGGUGAGUGAUCAGGUAAUGGUUGAAUAAACUAAGAAAUUAGUGGUGGAAGCAAACUUCACUAGAGUUGAAGUCUUUAGCUAGCUUUUUCAUUGAAUCCGUUUAUCCUUGGCUCAGACUUACCUACUUUUGGAUUAAUUCAGUGGAUUUCAUUUACUAUUAACAUUUGUAAAAAGGUUAGACUUAGCACAGUUUGCUAAAUGAAGAGCAGCAAAAUUUGAGGUUUCCUUGAGCUAGGUGAACGUUUCCUAGGUCAGAGGGCAAGGAGUUGUACUGGGAUUCAAACCUUGGCUUUUCCCUAUACUCACUGUCCUAGCCCCACGUGCUGAGCAGUUCAGUGCAAAUUGAAGACAGAUGGGAGCACCUCUGUGAGGGCAGCCUGACUUAGCUCUAGCCCCUUAGCUGGAGCCAAGUGCUUUCUGCUGUGCCUAGUUGAUUUUUACCUUUUGUGCUUGGAAACUUGAACAUUACUGCAACUCUGGCUGGGGCAUUGGAUUUUUAUAAAACUGUAUUUCAAGCCCUGAAUGACUGCAUUCUCCAAUCUAGGAUAAUACAGCUGGAAAAGGGCAGCUGGCUGGGUGCACAAGAGGGGAAUUUCUUUCUAGCACUGGACUGGGGUGAGUGUCAGAAGGCUGAACUAGAAAGGGGCCCAUAAGUAGGAAAUAGAAAUUGAAAAGCCAGCCCAGGAUAUUUGAGCAGUUCAAAAGCAGUUUGGUGGUUUGGGUGUGUCUCAGGCACAAAGUGGCUCGUGAACAUUUGAUAGAUGAGCUGUACCACCUAUGUAUGUGCUUGAGAAGAGACUUCAGGCUGCUUUUAUCUGCAUGCUGGGUUCGGUUCCACUAUACUCACUGGACCCUCGGCGGUCUCUUGGGUUCCUCUUGUGAUCUGCCUUUGUGAAGAGGCAACACAAGUGAUGACCGCAAGGCCCUGCCUGUCUCUGCUGCCUCAUCGCUUGCCCUUCUCGCCAUGGUCUACCACAUUGUGGCUCCCAAGGCCUGCCUGCCUGCCUGUCUUUCCAGUGCUCAUUUGUGUUUGGCAUCAUCUCGGUGUGGAGUUCUGCACCCAGAUCUGUGACUGUCCUCGUAAUUGGGUCCCACCCAGCUCAAAUGCCAACUCCUCAGAAGCAGCUUUCUGUGAUCACCCCAGCUGGUCUCUUUGCCAUAUUUCCUUCAUAUAUUUUAUCACUAUCUGAAAUUAACAUUUGUGUUUCCCUUCACUCUAGAAUGUAAGUUUCAUGAGAACAGGGCUUUGUCAAGUUUCCACUCUGCCCUCAGUGGCAAAUGAGUAGAUUCUCUCACCUCUGAACCUGAUCUGGAAUUCCUAACAGCAUUGACAUCUAACUUAAUGACAGAGAGGAAGGAGAUUCUUAGAGGCAGUAGAAAGUGGUCAAGUGUUCAGAAAAUUGCCUUUCAUUAUACAUCCUUAGUUCUUUCUGGCAGAUUGGGUUAUACUGUCUUAAUCUAUCAGGUUAGGUAAGUAGCCCAGGGUGUCUUCUCCAUUCUUUCUGUAUGCAGUAUCUCAGCGUCGACAUCUGCCUAGGCUUCAGGAUAGAAACUCAGUCAUCUUUGACUUUCCUUCUUUUCUUUAAAGUCAGUAAGUUAUCAAGUCCCGAUUCCGUCUGAGCCAUUUCCUGAAUUCAUCCUCUACUGCUUUAGUCAGGCCCUCACAAUCCUCUGCCUUUAGCCAUCUGUUUGGUUUUUGCUUUGUCUCUUCUCAUCUCCUCACC